CUGUAGCUCAGUUGUUAGAGCGUCAGGGUACAUACCUGAAGGUCGCGAGUUCGAUUCCCGCCAG
rnacentral:tRNA from 1 species